rfam:Daphnia pulex DAPPTscaffold_616_Cont10294, whole genome shotgun sequence.
UCCCAUAUGGUCUAGUGGCUAGGAUACCUGGCUUUCACCCAGGAGACUCGGGUUCGAUUCCCGGUAUGGGAA